AUGCAGGGGGCUGCCAGCCCAACCUGUCCCUCUUUAAUCGAGUGGUUCCCCGGGCUGGGAAGGUCCCUUCGGUUUUGGAGAAGCCCUGCAGCUGGUGGGAUCCCCAACCCACCUGUGGGUAUGUGCCCUGGUGCCCAGCGCCCUCUCAGACUAGGUGGGGGAGAAAAGCGUCAAAUGAUUUUCCUUACCUCUCCUUCUGUUUGUAAUGAUGAGUUUUGGCUGAGAUUUAGUGUUUGGAAAGCUCUGCUGGGCACAAGCUUCAGGUUCAGCACCUGGAAAAUAGCUUGGAGGGGGGUGUGUUCCUACCAAAACCUUGCCACUGUUGCCUUUUGGCAGUGGAGAAGUAGCGCAGUGUGCUUUCCCCUUCAUAAGAAGGAACAACAGGAGGGGCACAACGCUCUUGUUCCUAUAUUUUCAUGGGGAAACGGAGGCAGAGAGCAGAAAGCACGGCACACCAUGUGCUGCUCGAGUGUGCAUGGGGUCAUGGCUCGGUGGGAGGCGAACCUUUAUGGUGUCCCCAAGGAAAGCCUCGAGCUCAGUCAGCAGAGGUCAGGAGCCACCGUGCACGGCGUAAAUCCACGGGACACGUUUAUUUAUGGAGUUUGGCUUGUGUGGCUGGGGAGGGACACAAACCGUGCCCUGCUUUUGGGAACAGUUCCCCGAUCCCAGUGCUGCAGCCGAGGGCUCUGCAGGUCCCCUGGGGCACGUCUGGGAGCUGCGGCGUGGAGCAGCAGGGCAGGAGGCGCCGGCUGCUCGCUGCCAUCCGUGCAGGGAGCGUGGCCAGGAGCAGCUCCGGGUUCGUGCAUUGCUCCUGGGGGAAGCAGGAGCGUGGCAGAAGCUGUGAAAACGCGCGCGGUGCUGCUAGCAGAUCUCAGCAUCUCUUUACAACUCGGCAAUCUGGCUGGCUACGUGCGCACGCUGCAUCCCAGACUACAAAUGAAGCCGACUUUUUUUUUUUCCUUUUUUUUUUUUCCUUUUUUUUUUAUUUUUAAUUUUUUCUUUCCCUCGGUGCUGCACUACACAAAAGGCCCCCUUGCUGUGCGCUGCUGCUGCUCCCCAGCGCCUGGCACCAUCUGGGUUUAA
rnacentral:lncRNA from 1 species